AUUGAACGCUGGCGGCGUGCUUAACACAUGCAAGUCGAUCGGUAACGCGGGGGCAACCCUGGCGACGAGAGGCGGACGGGUGAGGAACGCUUGGGAAUCUGCCCUUCAGCGGGGGACAACACGGGGAAACUCGUGCUAAUACCGCAUACGCUCCACGGAGGAAAGCCGGGGACCGCAAGGCCUGGCACUGAAGGAUGAGCCCAAGUCGGAUUAGCUAGUUGGCGGGGUAACGGCCCACCAAGGCGACGACCCGUAGCUGGUCUGAGAGGACGAUCCGCCAAACUGGGACGGAGGCACGGCCCAGACGCCUACGGGAGGCAGCAGUGGGGAAUAUUGGACAAUGGGGGAAACCCUGAUCCCGCGACGCCGCGUGGGUGAAGAAGGCCUGCGGGUUGUAAAGCCCUUUCGGUAGGGACGAAAGCUCUCGACCUAACACGUCGGGAGGUUGACUUAACCUACAAAAGAAGCACCGGCUAACUCUGUGCCAGCCGCCGCGGUAACAC
rnacentral:rRNA from 1 species